rnacentral:lncRNA from 13 species
GUGACGUUCUAGGAAAGGCGCCAACUCGCUGGUCUACGCGUUCCCUCAGACUCUCCGCCUUCCCUCAGACUCUCUCUCCGCCUUCCUCCUCGCGGCUCAGCCUUCUAGGAGUUUGCGCGCGUUGAAAAUCUAGAUCACUCACCCUUGGGAAAGCCAAAUGCCAUAUUGUAAAGAGAGACCCAUGUAAUGAGGAACUGAAGCCUCCUGCCAACGGCCACAUGAUUGAUUUUGGAAGUGGAUCUUUCUACGUUAGUGAAGCUUUCAGAUCACUGCAGCCCCAGGUUUUGGGGUACAUGUGAAGGACAUCGACUGUUUAAUGAGUACAGGCAAGUUGUCUUGUAGAACAGUUCACAUACUGAAUUGUCAGUUUAGAAUAAAAAGUGCUAUUGGUUGAAUAUCCCUAAUCUG